GAAUAAGCGCACAACGUUGAGCUGGUACGACGUCUCCUAAACCCUGAGCUCAUCAAUGAUAAGGUAAGCAGAAUACCUGUUACUAUAUGUCGAAAUUCUGCAAAUUGAAAGAGGAAAUUUAAGAGGAGACUGUCGUUCAGAUCAAAUAAGGUGUGCAAGAAGUUAAGUAAGUUUGGAACUUACGUGUGUAACGUGUACGGUAAAUGAACUUACGUGUGUAACGUGUACGGUAAAGUCAGGGACUUACGCGUACUAAGAAUAGGUCAGGGACCUAGUGCUUCGUCGUGGCGGACAAGGGUGCGGUGACGAUCGUAUUCAAAUAGCUGGGGUGUUUUUUGAGAUCCCCGAGGAGAAGUGAGGCCUCC